UCAAAACAGACAAUUUUUCACUGCGUUUCAUCAUAUUGUUAAAAAAAACAAAACCAAAACCAAUAGGAGAAGGUGAUGCCGGGAUCGCUUAUACCUCAUUAACUUUUGUUAAGUAGAAAAGAUCAUUCUCAGGUUGAUUUGGCACUUCUGUGCCUUAUUCAAUCUUCUCCAGUCGCCAAAGGAAUCGAAUCUACUACAUGCAAUACGAUAAUGGGAGCCAUUGAAAGGGAGAGCUUAGGGAGAUAAGUGAUUUUCAGCUUUACUUUCACAAUCGAAUGGGGACAAAAGUUGGGUGCUUCUUUCUUCCGAGCUGCAGGUUUGUUCCGUUGAGAAGUGCAUAAAAUAGUUCAGUACAGUCCUGGUUAUUGGGCUGAAUCGGAGAAGAAGUUAAGGUUUUAGAACCACUCUUAAAAUAACAUGUUUGGUUCUAUGAACGGUUUUAUCAGUCAAGAUUUUUUUUAAAGUUCGGUUUGGUUAUUGGGCUGAGUUGGAGAAGAAGUUAAGGUUUUAGAACCACUCUUAAGAUAACAGUUUGGUUCUAUGAACUGUUUUAUCAGUUAAGUUUAAUUUUUUUAA